rnacentral:tRNA from 1 species
AAGAAGUUAGUUAAAAUAUAACAUUAGUAUGUCAUACUAAUAUUAUUAGAAUUUAUCUAAUACAUCUUU